CUCUACUCGUCUCCCAGGCACGCUGGAGAGCCACACUCCCUUCCUGACUUGAGAUUAGUCACUGCUUUGGCCAAUGAAAUGCAAGUGGAAGCGACGUUUGCUAAGCUUUAAGAGGCUGCCCUGGAUGUGCCGGGCUUGCUUUUUACUCUGCACCGUAACGGCUGUGUUCCCGGUCAUGACUGCCGGGUCAGCGAGGGUCCUGGAGUGAGGAGCACGCCGAGCAGAGCACGUGGCCGACGGCAAUGGACAGAUGGAGUGGCGGCCACACCACCUCCUUAUGGCGUGGAGUCCCGGCUCAGACCUUUGUACGUGGCAGGCAGGCUUUCUCAUAAUUGAUCUCAGAGUUGAAAAGAAGACUGUGAGCCAAGACUAUAGUGUCCAUCAUCAGACCAGCUCUUCCUCCUAUCGAGUACUACCUAAGAGAUCAUCUGUAGGGAAGAAAUUGGGAAGACUUUCUAAGAGAAGUAUUUACCUGGUUAGCAUUUAG
rnacentral:lncRNA from 1 species